GUAUAGCAAUAGCUACUUGCAUCAUUGCAAAUGUGAUGCAAGAUCGACUAUGUCGAAUAAAAUUCUAGGUAGAAUUAUGAUAAUGACAUUGUCUGCCUAUGUGUCUUGACCAAAUUACGUGCCAGCAGUCGCGGUAAUACGUAGAAGACUAGUGUUAUUCAUGUUUAAUCGGUUUAAAGGGUACCUAGACGGUAAAUCAAGCCUAAAAGGAAAUAAAUAAAGGGACUAAUUUACUAGAGUUACUUAUGAGGGGGUAUUAAAGUACUGCUGGUGUAGAGAUGAAAUUCUGUCAUACCUCUUUUCAAUAGAAAAGUAAUGGCACAGGUAUAGGCGAAGGCAUCCCCUUAUGUGAUAACUGACGUUGAGGGACGAAGGCUUUGUGUAGCGAACAGGAUUAGAUACCCCAGUAGUCAAAGCAGAAAAUGAUGAAUGUCAUAGAUUAGAUGUAUAAGUUUAUUCUAUAAAUGAAAGUGUAAGCAUUCCACCUCAAGAGUAAUUUGGCAACAUUGGAACUGAAAUCAUUAGACCGUUUCUGAAACCAGUAGUGAAGUAUGUUGUUUAAUUUGAUGAUCCGCAAAAAACCUUACCACAAUUUGAAUAUUUAUAUCUUUUAUUGUUUUUCUUUUUAACUUACUUCUGAUUUUCUACUUAAAAGAAAACAAUAACAAGAAAAAAGAGGCAAUAAGAUAUAUUUACAAGCGUUGCACGGCUGUCUUCAGUUAAUGUCGCGAGACUAUGGUUAGUUCCAUUAAAUUAACGUAAACCCUUACUUUAUUUUUAUAUAGAGUAGUUCCCCACUAUAUUGGAUAUGAUAACAGGGACUAAGACAAGUCAUCAUGGCCUAAAUAUUGUGGGCUAUAGA
rnacentral:rRNA from 1 species